AGCAGCGGGGCUCAGCGGAAAGAGCGCGGGCUGGGGAGCCAGAGGUCACGGGUUCAAAUCCCGGCUCUGCCG
rfam:Ornithorhynchus anatinus chromosome 1, whole genome shotgun sequence.